rnacentral:misc_RNA from 1 species
GAGCGAAGACGGAAGUGCUGUGGAUAAAACAAUAAGAAAAGCAGUGUGCAGAGUGAGUGUGAGAGGCGGACGACAGAAAUGGAGGCUCUCAAAGUCUGGACUCUCUCUUCUAAGCCUUUUAGGCACCUUCUUCGCCUGGGCUCUUCCGCCACCACCAGAACAUCCUAUUCCACUUUUGUUCUCCGCUCCUCCACCAACACCUCUGCCGCCACGUCCUCCAGGGUUGCUGGCCGCAACCGCAGGUCCUCAUCCUCUUCUUCUUCUUCU